rnacentral:rRNA from 1 species
GUGCCAGCCGCCGCGGUAAUACCGGCAGCCCGAGUGAUGGCCGAUCUUAUUGGGCCUAAAGCGUCCGUAGCUGGCUGCGCAAGUCCGUCGGGAAAUCCACUCGCCCAACGAGUGGGCGUCCGACGGAAACUGCACAGCUUGGGACCGGAAGACUCGAGGGGUACGUCUGGGGUAGGAGUGAAAUCCUGUAAUCCUGGACGGACCGCCGGUAGCGAAAGCGCCUCGAGAGGACGGACCCGACGGUGAGGGACGAAAGCCAAGGUCUCGAACCGGAUUAGAUACCCGAGUAGUCU